AUUGAACGCUGUCGGCAGGCUUAACACAUGCAAGUCGAACGAGUGGCGGACGGGUUAGUAAUGCUUGGGAAUCUAGCUUAUGGAGGGGGAUAACUACGGGAAACUGUAGCUAAUACCGCGUACCAUAGGAUGAGCCCAAGUGGGAUGAGGUAGUUGGUGAGGUAAAGGCUCACCAAGCCGACGAUCUCUAGCUGGUCUGAGAGGAUGACCAGCCACACUGGGACUGAGACACGGCCCAGACUCCUACGGAAGGCAGAAGUGGGGAAUAUUGCGCAAUGGGGGCAACCUGACGCAGCCAUGACGCGUGAAUGAAGAAGGCCUUCGGGUUGUAAAGUUCUUUCGGUAGCGAGGCGUUAACUACAGAAGAAGCACCGGCUAACUCCGUGCCAGCCGCCGCGGUAAUAC
rnacentral:rRNA from 1 species